GUGGGGAAUAUUCCGCAAUGGACGAAAGUCUGACGGGGCAACGCCGCGUGAGUGAUGAAGGUUUUCGGACUGUAAAGCUCUGUUGUUUAGGACGAAAGUGCCUGUUGCAAACAGUUACAGGUAUUGACGGUACUAAACGAGGAAGCCACGGCUAACUACGUGCCAGCAGCCGCGGUAAUACGUAGGUGGCAAGCGUUGUCCGGAAUUAUUGGGCGUAAAGAGCAUGUAGGCGGGAAUCUAAGUCUGUUGUGAAAAUGCGGGGCUCAACCCCGUAUUGCGAUGGAAACUGGGUUUCUUGAGUGCAGGAGAGGAAAGGGGAAUUCCCAGUGCAGCGGUGAAAUGCGUAGAUAUUGGGAGGAACACCAGUGGCGAAGGCGCCUUUCUGGACUGUGUCUGACGCUGAGAUGCGAAAGCCAGGGUAGCGAACGGGAUUAGAUACCCUAGUAGUCC
rnacentral:rRNA from 1 species